CAGCAGCCGCGGGAAUACGAAGGGUGCAAGCGUUAAUCGGAAUUACUGGGCGUAAAGCGUGCGUAGGCGGUUUGUUAAGUCUGCUGUGAAAUCCCCGGGCUCAACCUGGGAAUGGCAGUGGAUACUGGCAAGCUAGAGUGUGUCAGAGGAUGGUGGAAUUCCCGGUGGAGCGGUGAAAUGCGUUGAGAUCGGAAGGAACGCCCGUGGCGAAAGCGAGGUCCUGGACGUUUUCUGACGCUGAGACGCGAAAGCUAGGGGAGCGAACGGGAUUAGAUACCCCAGUAGUCCCUGUCUCUUAUAC
rnacentral:rRNA from 1 species